rnacentral:rRNA from 1 species
UGCUGCAGCUAACGCAUUAAGCAUUCCGCCUGGGGAGUACGGCCGCAAGGCUGAAACUCAAAGGAAUUGACGGGGGCCCGCACAAGCGGUGGAGCAUGUGGUUUAAUUCGAAGCUACGCGAAGAACCUUACCAGGUCUUGACAUACUAUGCAAAUCUAAGAGAUUAGACGCUCCCUUCGGGGACAUGGAUACAGGUGGUGCAUGGUUGUCGUCAGCUCGUGUCGUGAGAUGUUGGGUUAAGUCCCGCAACGAGCGCAACCCUUAUUAUCAGUUGCCAGCAUUAAGUUGGGCACUCUGGUGAGACUGCCGGUGACAAACCGGAGGAAGGUGGGGAUGACGUCAAAUCAUCAUGCCCCUUAUGACCUGGGCUACACACGUGCUACAAUGGAUGGUACAACGAGUUGCGAACUCGCGAGAGUAAGCUAAUCUCUUAAAGCCAUUCUCAGUUCGGAUUGUAGGCUGCAACUCGCCUACAUGAAGUCGGAAUCGCUAGUAAUCGCGGAUCAGCAUGCCGCGGUGAAUACGUUCCCGGGCCUUGUACACACCGCCCGUCACACCAUGAGAGUUUGUAACACCCAAAGUCGGUGGGGUAACCUUUAGGAACCAGCCGCCUAAGGUGGGACAGAUGAUUAGGGUGAAGUCGUAACAAGGUAACCA